rnacentral:rRNA from 1 species
GUCGAGCGAACAGACGAGGAGCUUGCUCCUCUGACGUUAGCGGCGGACGGGUGAGUAACACGUGGAUAACCUACCUAUAAGACUGGGAUAACUUCGGGAAACCGGAGCUAAUACCGGAUAAUAUAUUGAACCGCAUGGUUCAAUAGUGAAAGACGGUUUUGCUGUCACUUACAGAUGGAUCCGCGCCGCAUUAGCUAGUUGGUAAGGUAACGGCUUACCAAGGCAACGAUGCGUAGCCGACCUGAGAGGGUGAUCGGCCACACUGGAACUGAGACACGGUCCAGACUCCUACGGGAGGCAGCAGUAGGGAAUCUUCCGCAAUGGGCGAAAGCCUGACGGAGCAACGCCGCGUGAGUGAUGAAGGUCUUCGGAUCGUAAAACUCUGUUAUUAGGGAAGAACAAAUGUGUAAGUAACUAUGCACGUCUUGACGGUACCUAAUCAGAAAGCCACGGCUAACUACGUGCCAGCAGCCGCGGUAAUACGUAGGUGGCAAGCGUUAUCCGGAAUUAUUGGGCGUAAAGCGCGCGUAGGCGGUUUUUUAAGUCUGAUGUGAAAGCCCACGGCUCAACCGUGGAGGGUCAUUGGAAACUGGAAAACUUGAGUGCAGAAGAGGAAAGUGGAAUUCCAUGUGUAGCGGUGAAAUGCGCAGAGAUAUGGAGGAACACCAGUGGCGAAGGCGACUUUCUGGUCUGUAACUGACGCUGAUGUGCGAAAGCGUGGGGAUC